UGGUGCAGAGGGGGUGGGAAGGGAAAAGGGAAGGAGAGCGAAACGGACAGGUUGCAUGCAACACGUUCGAGUUGGCUGCAAGGGAUAACGGUAUCCAGAUAUCCCUAUAUCCCAUUUUCCUGCCAAUGCGUCGGCGCCUCGCCCCCCAACUCCGCCUGCCACGCCCCCCCACUCAACACGCCCCUUUUGGCGUGGCACAAUUCGCGGGUUCCGCUGCUCACAUUUAACCUUACCAAAGGUUACAAUGCGUCGCGGGAGCGCAGAGCGGAGAGAGGAGAGCGCGCCAGUGGAAGAAAGGAGCGCCCAAAAGGAGUGCUGCCAAAAUCGGCGAACGAAGGAGAGAGAGAGCGAGCAAAAAGGAGGGGAAGUGGGAGAGAAAAAGCAAAAGGGGGAGCAGCAACAACAAAAAGAAAAACAACAACGGGUGACAGCUGCACCAGAGAUGCCAAAAAAAAAAAAAACGAAUCAGUGGCUAAGGAGCUAGAAAAGCAAGGACGUGCACUGAAAAAAAAACAGUAUAUCGCAAAAGAAAACGAUGCCCACAAGCUUACCAAUGGACAGCCGGUGUAUCUCCUUUUCCCGUGAACUCAGGAACACAUCACACUGCUCCUGUGGGAAUAGAACUCCCUGCAGGCUUGCUGAUCCACUAUGUCCACUGCUGAACUGAGAAGGGUCUGGGAUUUCGCUUGCUGCGGUGCAAUUUGGUCCUUGGCCAGCCGGAAACCAAGACGGCGUAUCCACCACUGGUCACAUUAUUCGGACUGGCUAUAUCGUUGGCUACUGAUUCGAAUUUCUUGAUUACUAUCACAAAGAAAUAUGUAAAUCUAGAGCUAAAUACUCCAUUUGAGCAAUAAAAGUUAGACUGCCACCACUGAGAGGCCAGAACAUCCAGGAUGAGAGUGGAAGGAAGCAGCGGACACCAGCUGACAGCCGUGAGACGUCUUGAUGCCGAGCAUUAUCCUCGAUGAUUUCCAUUGUUCGCCGACACUUGUCUGCGGAGAUUCGUCGAGGAUUAGGAUUACGACGAUUGGAGGAUGAUGCAGAGUUUAGGUAACACAACGCCUGUCACUUCUCUGAUUUGAUUCAGUCAGUCACGUGUAUUGAUACAAUGGGAUUGUGAGCAUUUCAUAGUAUACUUUCGAGGGCAGGAGUGGGUAUCUCUGUGGGAAAACUCUUUAUUGUUUUAUCCCAAUUAGAUUGUGGGAGUCAAAUUGGCGUGUUCUAGGAACUACUCAUUAAGAAGUUUAAAAAUAGAUUUUAAAACCACUCAGGCAUGAUUUAAUCAUCAAUCGAUAUCCAUCUUUAAGGAUCAUCGAUGAGAAGUAGAAUCUUUAGCAUGUGUAGUCCUUCGAUAAAACGAAAUCGUUUGUUUAUUUCGGCUCAAAAGGUUUGUGGAAUAUAAGUAGAUAUAAAAGGAAAUGAUAAUAAUACAAAAAUAAUAAUAUAUUGUACAAUAUGUUAAUGUUAUUAUUUUCUUAUCUCUCUCCCUCUCUUUCCUUCUCAUACAGCUGCGCCAUUCAUUUAUAAUCGUAAUAAUAAUAAUAAUAGUUAAUGGAUUUUCUUUGCUUCUCGAUGCCCCCCAUCUUCAUUUCCAUCUCAUCUCAUCUCAUCUCGGCGACGGCAACUAAUCAGUUAAUAUAUAGUUCUAAGCUGCGUCCUCCUCAGUUACAAUUAUAUUUAUCAUAGAUAUUAUCUAGUUUUCCACAGUGCUAGCUGAUUUGUGUUUUCUUUUUUUCAUCGAUUUCAUUUCAUUUUUAUUUCUUAGACUUUCUCUGGUUGCUGCUGAUUUUCCGCUUUAAGUACGUGCGCACAGGAAAUAACAAUACAUCAUUUAAUAUAUAUAUAUCCGCGUGGUGGUGGUCGUGUUUUUGUGUUUUUCGGUGUCUUUGUAUAUGUAUUUAUAUAUAUAUAUUUAUAUUAUGAACGUGUUUAGCGUUGUAAGUAAAAAAGGAAUAUCAGGGGCUGGCCAACAGAAGCCGGGAACCGAUCAAAAAGACUCAGGACGGGACAAAAAAAACAAACAAACACUCAUUACAUAUAGAAAUAACAAAUAAACUGCGCGAAAUGGCAUCAAACAUCGUUCGAUUCGCUCUCCAUUUCGAUUCCAUUAAAAUGCUAAGCUUUUUAAAUGCUUCUGCUAAAUAAUUUCACAAUCGGUUUUAAUACAUAUCUUAACUCUUCCUUUCCUUUCGUUUCCUUCUUUGCCAUUGUUAGUUGCCAUUUAAUUAAUGGGGAAUAGUGGGUUUGACUUUUAUUGUCUUAACUUAAAACUGAAAGUUGUCUUUUACACACAAGAGUUUACACACCAUUUAAAAUGAGAGAGUUAUUAAUAAUAAAACAAGGCGAACGUAAAUAUUGAUUUGACAAGUAGUGUGUUUAUAUAUAUAUAUAUGUAUAGAUAUAAAUUAGGGAAAAUAUAUAAGUUAACUGCUUUUGGGCGGGUCGUAACCACCCGACCGCCCUCAUUUUUUUUUCUCAGCUAUCCAGCUCCAACUGGAGACUAACCCGGCUAAAAAAAAAACAAACAAACAGUCUGAGUCUGAACAACGCUGUGCGCCGAUUUGGAAAAUGCUCUGAUCUAGAUGCGAUUGCGUGGGUGUCUCUGUGUUUCACCGUCUGUGUGUGAUAACUUAUUUUACAAUAAAUGUGUGACAACCACAGUGUGUGUGUGUGU
rnacentral:sRNA from 1 species